rnacentral:sRNA from 1 species
ACAAAAGGAAUAAAAAA